UACGUAGGUGGCGAGCGUUGUCCGGAAUUACUGGGCGUAAAGGGCGCGUAGGCGGGAUGGUAAGUCGGUCGUGAAAUCCCUCGGCUCAACCGAGGAACGUCGAUCGAUACUACCGUUCUUGAGGAUUGCAGAGGAGACUGGAAUUCCCGGUGUAGCGGUGAAAUGUGUAGAGAUCGGGAGGAACACCGGUGGCGAAGGCGGGUCUCUGGGCAAUUCCUGACGCUGAGGCGCGAAAGCGUGGGGAGCAAACGGG
rnacentral:rRNA from 1 species